UACGUAGGGUGCAAGCGUUGUCCGGAAUUAUUGGGCGUAAAGAGCUCGUAGGCGGUUUGUCGCGUCUGCUGUGAAAACGCGAGGCUCAACCUCGCGCCUGCAGUGGGUACGGGCAGACUAGAGUGCGGUAGGGGAGAUUGGAAUUCCUGGUGUAGCGGUGGAAUGCGCAGAUAUCAGGAGGAACACCGGUGGCGAAGGCGGGUCUCUGGGCCGAUAUUGACGCUGAGGAGCGAAAGCGUGGGGAGCAAACAGG
rnacentral:rRNA from 1 species